UCUCUCUCUCUCUCUCUCUCUCUCUCUCUCUCUCUCUCUCUCUCUCUCUCUCUCUCUCUCUCUCUCUCUCUCUCUCUCUCUCUCUCUCUCUCGGCGCAUUCAAGUGUGCCUCGUAAACUUCAGCUUCGCUCGCUGACUUUUGACGCAAUGAGCGCAGCGUGACGCUGUCUGUCGCGUUACCACAAGCAGAUGGUGGAGGCGCAAAUACUGUUUUAAAGGGCUGGAAAUCCAAUUUCUCUUAAUAUUGAUCUGUAUUAUAAUGGAAUUAUUCUUUAUUAAAGGAGAGUUUUUAACUAUUUUAAUGUCAGAAACAUUAAAAAAUAUUCAAAUCUCAGGAAGGCAUUCAUCUUACAGUGAUGUACAAAAUAAAUGCUAAAAUGCAGUCAAAUUUAGAGAUUUCGACUGUAAACGGUUACUUUACCAUUCAUAAAUAAACUUCAAUUUAAUGACAAUGAUAAUAAACAAAUUCCAGAAUUAAAGCUUCUUAACGCUUCAUUUGUUUGCUCGAAUAAGCAGAAAGUGCAACUGAAACUGAUUAAAAACAAAGCAGGCACGUGCAGGGGGGGGGGGGGCGGAGGGUGCUUGUUGAGCACCUGCCCCUUACGUCCAAAGAGCCCAAAGUGCCCUUUUUCCAGUCGUUCGUCAGAUUUUGCCGCAAGGACCAUGCGGAGGCAGCCGCCUCAAGCUGAAGCCUAUUUUCCCUUAAACCCGCCUACAAGGUCACUGAUUGGCUCUUCCACAUCAUACUAACAUGUGAUUGGUUGUCCCUGCUGUCGCUCUACCUUGCAGCCAUGGAGUCGACUGGUGUUUUGCCUGUGGGCAGGAGUCUGCGUUCAUCUACCUGUGGGCGUGUCUGAGAGCUCCCAGCUGCAAGGCCCAGGGGAUUUAAGGAGCAGUGUGACACUUCACCACGCCGGAUGAUUACUCUUUUGGGUUCCUCGCAAUCUCUCACCAGCUCCAGAACAAGAUCCGAAUCUCAGCCUACCUGACACACUGCUUCAUCCCCUGGCCGCCCGCUCUCAGCCGCUCACCUACCAACAUCCAUUCCUGCUCCUACACCUCUGGACAAACCAAUCCCUUUACCUUUGGAUCUCCUCAGCUCACCCGGACCUAACAACCUUCCUGUUCAGUUACCACUACCAAGAAACCAAUCUCCCCCUGGAUUCCUGCUGCCAGUCCUGCGUCUCGUCUGUUCCCGUCUCUCACAUUGCUCUUUAUUUAGUAAUAAAAACCUUUUUACUUACCUUCUUGCUCUCCGUAUGGUGAUUCUGCAUGUCGUGGGUCAAGAAACUGCCACCCGCCAUGACAGAGGCACAAUAUACACAACUAGAAAAUUCUGAAUAUGAAGGGAGGAGGUUAGCAUAAUGGACUUUUUUUCUU